rnacentral:rRNA from 1 species
CAGGCUGAAGACCUUACCCGAUUAGCUGAGAGGUGGUGCAUGGCCGUCGUCAGUUCGUACUGUGAAGCAUCCUGUUAAGUCAGGCAACGAGCGAGACCCACCGUCCACAGUUGCCAGCAUACCCUCCGGGGUGAUGGGUACACUGUGGAGACCGCCGCUGCUAAAGCGGAGGAAGGAGUGGGCAACGGUAGGUCAGUAUGCCCCGAAUCUCCCGGGCUACACGCGGGCUACAAUGGUUGGUACAAUGGGCAUCUACCCCGAAAGGGGAAGGAAAUCUCUUAAAGCCAAUCGUAGUUCGGAUUGAGGGCUGCAACUCGCCCUCAUGAAGCUGGAAUCCGUAGUAAUCGCGUUUCAACAGAACGCGGUGAAUACGUCCCUGCUCCUU